rnacentral:tRNA from 1 species
GGUAGUGUGGCCGAGUGGUCUAAGGCGCUGGAUUGAGGCGUGGGUUCAAAUCCCACCACUGCCA